AAAGAGCAAAGUAAAUUUCAGAAACAGGCUUUUGGGUUCUACAAGUUCUUUCGAAACAGAAGAGAAGAGUGAACAAAGAUGAGUGAUGAGAUUGAUAAGCUGCGUUAAGGAAUAGGCUGUUUAGUUGGUGCAGCACUGUCGUAUCUUCUUGGAGAGGAAUCUCGAAUAAAUGCUGAAUCGCUUGGGAGGGUUUUUUGCGUAGCUCAAAUAAAGGAUUUGUCACUGUUAUUUGAUCAUACGUCCAUAGUGUUGCCUUUGAUCAUCACUGUAUCUGGAAUAGUCGGCUCGAACAGGGCACUUAAGUUGGAGUCUAGCAAAGCCAAGGCCGUGAUUCUUCAUGAGGCGGUGAAAUAAUCUACAAUCUUUAGUCAUUACUGAAAAAUCCGAUUUGUCUACGUGUUUUUGGAUUUUAAUUUAAUUUCUGAAACAAAUAAAUUUGGAUUUGGAUAUCUGGUAUUUUGAACUGAAAUCCGAUCUGAAUCCAAAAUAUGAUAUGGACUCAAUAUUAAACCCGAAAAAUUCCAGUAGUAGUAUACAUAUAUAUUUAUAUUGGUUGGUUUUAUUACUCCUAAAGUAUUGUUUAAAUUUUAUUUUUUGUGUAAUUCUGAUUAAAAAUCAAAACUAUUUAUUGUUUGCUUGAUCCAGAC